UACGGAGGGGGCAAGCGUUAUUCGGAAUCACUGGGCGUAAAGGGUGCGUAGGCGGAUUCGUAAGUCUGAGGUGAAAGCUUGGCGCUCAACCCGGGAAUGGCCUUUGAGACUGCAAGUCUUGAGUGCGAGAGAGGGAGGUGGAAUACGCAGUGUAGAGGUGAAAUUCGUAGAUAUUGCGUAGAACACCGGUGGCGAAGGCGGCCUCCUGGACCGCUACUGACGCUGAGGCACGAAAGCGUGGGGAGCAAACAGG
rnacentral:rRNA from 1 species